ensembl:miRNA Mir6338 microRNA 6338
UCCAGUAUCCUGGUUUCUCUCAUUUGUGCUUACUGAGUUUUAUAUAGUCACAUAAAACCAUAUGUGUACAUGUUAAAUGAAAGUAGAAGGGAGACUGUAUGAUGCGGGG